CGUGUAGGCGGCGAAUUUAGUUAGGCGUGAAAGCCCCCGGGCUCAACCUGGGAACUGCGCUUAAUACUGAUUUGCUAGAGUCCGGGAGAGGCUAGUGGAAUAUCCAGUGUAGAGGUGAAAUUCGUAGAUAUUGGAUGGAACACCGAUGGCGAAGGCAGCUAGCUGGACCGGUACUGACGCUGAGGCGCGAAAGCGUGGGGAGCAAACA
rnacentral:rRNA from 1 species